UUGCAAACCAGUUCAGCCUAGCCAGGUUAGACUAACCUGCAAAGAUUGAAUCAAUUCAGGCUGUCCCUAUCCAGGAAGGCUCCCGUAUACACUCCUUUCUUCAAUGGGUCAGCCCUGCUUCCUUCCAGCUCCAUUGUUGGUAACAUUAGAGCAGAGCUGAUUUCGCUGCUACUGAAGUGGAACUGAAAUUCUCCCGUGGCUCUGGGAAAUAAACACGGAGGCACGGAGUGGCCCUAGGAGCUGGAAGCCCAGUGCAAAGCGCGGUGUGCCGAGCCUCCAGCGAGCUUAGAUAAUCCUUGCAGCGCAUCUGGAGGUGGGAGGCUUGCGAAAGGCAGCGAUUUCAUACCCUCCGGUUCCUUCCUGACAACUCAUCCUUACGCAUCAAAUUCCGGUGAGUGACAGCAACCAGAGGCUAUUCAUAAGGGCGGCAUAUCAGCAUGUAAUAAUCAU
rnacentral:lncRNA from 1 species